rnacentral:rRNA from 1 species
AUUGAACGCUGGCGGCAGGCCUAACACAUGCAAGUCGAACGAGUGGCGGACGGGUGAGUAAUGUCUGGGAAACUGCCCGAUGGAGGGGGAUAACUACUGGAAACGGUAGCUAAUACCGCAUACCAUCGGAUGUGCCCAGAUGGGAUUGUCUAGUAGGUGGGGUAACGGCUCACCUAGGCGACGAUCCCUAGCUGGUCUGAGAGGUUGAACAGCGACACUGGAACGGAGACACGGUCCAGAUUCCUCCGGGAGUAAGCAGUGGGGAAUAUGGCACAGUGGGCGCAAGCCUGAUGCAGCCAUGCCGCGUGUAUGAAGAAGGCCUUCGGGUUGUAAAGUACUUUCAGCGAGGAGGCGUUACUCGCAGAAGAAGCAUCGGCUAACUCCGUGCCAGCAGCCGCGGUAAUAC